CCAGACUCCUACGGGAGGCAGCAGUGAGGAAUAUUGGUCAAUGGGCGCGAGCCUGAACCAGCCAAGUCGCGUGAGGGAUGACGGCCCUACGGGUUGUAAACCUCUUUUGCCGGGGAGCAACGGGCGCCACGUGUGGCGCCACUGAGAGUACCCGGAGAAAAAGCAUCGGCUAACUCCGUGCCAGCAGCCGCGGUAAUACGGAGGAUGCGAGCGUUAUCCGGAUUUAUUGGGUUUAAAGGGUGCGUAGGCGGACUGUAAAGUCGGCGGUAAAAGCCGGGGCCCCACCCCCGGCGAGCCGUUGAAACUGGCUGUCUUGAGAUGUCGAGAGGUAUGCGGAAUGCGCAGUGUAGCGGUGAAAUGCUUAGAUAUUGCGCAGAACUCCGAUUGCGAAGGCAGCAUACCGGCGGCGAUCUGACGCUGAGGCACGAAAGCGUGGGUAUCGAACAGGAUUAGAUACCCUAGUA
rnacentral:rRNA from 1 species